UACGGAGGGUGCAAGCGUUGUCCGGAUUUAUUGGGUUUAAAGGGUGCGUAGGCGGCCCUGUAAGUCAGUGGUGAAAUACUGCAGCUUAACUGUAGCAUUGCCAUUGAUACUGUAGGGCUUGAGUACAGAUGAGGUAGGCGGAAUUGAUGGUGUAGCGGUGAAAUGCAUAGAUACCAUCAAGAACACCGAUUGCGAAGGCAGCUUGCUAAGCUAUAACUGACGCUGAGGCACGAAAGCGUGGGGAUCGAACAGG
rnacentral:rRNA from 1 species